rnacentral:rRNA from 1 species
ACGCUCGACAGUGUCAGCAGCCGCGGUAAUACGGAGGAUUCAAGCGUUAUCCGGAUUUAUUGGGUUUAAAGGGUGCGUAGGCGGUUUGAUAAGUUAGAGGUGAAAUCCCGGGGCUUAACUCCGGAACUGCCUCUAAUACUGUUAGACUAGAAAGUAGUUGCGGUAGGCGGAAUGUAUGGUGUAGCGGUGAAAUGCUUAGAGAUCAUACAGAACACCGAUUGCGAAGGCAGCUUACCAAACUAUAUCUGACGUUGAGGCACGAAAGCGUGGGGAGCAAACAGGAUUAGAUACCCUGGUAGUCCACGCAGUAAACGAUGAUAACUCGUUGUCGGCGAUACACAGUCGGUGACUAAGCGAAAGCGAUAAGUUAU